rnacentral:misc_RNA from 1 species
AUAACCAACAAAUAGGUAAAACCAAAGCCACAAUACAAAAGCCAUCCCAAAAAAGAACUGCAAAAGGCUAUAGUAAAGGGAGGCAACUUCGCCUGUUAAGCCAAAACUAUUUGGUCAUUCUUCUCUCCUUAGCAUGUGGCAUUGGAGCUGUGAAGAAACAAACGUUGGAAAGUUACUGAAAUAGCCUCAGAAGAGCCGAGGUCGGGGAGGAACUAUGUAUAUCUUUCCUGACCUGAAGUCUGAAUACUCCGGCAUCAUCUUUUGGUCAACAACUGGAAUUAUGUUGGUCCUGAGAUUAAUGUCAGAG